GAGUGAGGGACAGAGAGAGAAUAUUUUGAGACCUAGCAUUUCUGGAAGGAAUACAUUUUGAGUGAACAAAUAUCUUGCCUGACCUUUUUGUGCUCAGAAGAUGUUUUGGAAAUGGACUUCAUAUCAAAUUUUAGCUCAUCUGUAGCAACGACUGAGUUUUAGCCAUGUUUAAUAGGGCUGCACGAUAUUGGAAAAGCUCGCAAUGGUGAUAAUAUUUGAAAAUGAUGCAAUGACGAUAACAGCGCUGAUCACCCACACCUAUGUGCCUUGGACUUCAAGCCUCUCACCAGUUUCUCAUGCGCUGCCUCCAACAACUCACUGUAAAUAUCCACGCACCUGUAAAUACUCACUUUGGGAAUCCUACCUUUUGUGGACCAACUCCUCCGUGCUUCAUCUCCUUCCCCAAACCGUCCAGACCCCAGAUCC